GAUUUUGUAGCUCAAUGGCAGAGCACCGGUCUGUUAAACCGGAAGUUGAAAGUUCGAGUCUUUCCAAAAUCGCAA
rnacentral:tRNA from 1 species